rnacentral:rRNA from 1 species
AGAGUUUGAUCCUGGCUCAGAUUGAACGCUGGCGGCAGGCCUAACACAUGCAAGUCGAGCGGUAGCACAGAGAGCUUGCUCUCGGGUGACGAGCGGCGGACGGGUGAGUAAUGUCUGGGAAACUGCCUGAUGGAGGGGGAUAACUACUGGAAACGGUAGCUAAUACCGCAUAAUGUCGCAAGACCAAAGUGGGGGACCUUCGGGCCUCAUGCCAUCAGAUGUGCCCAGAUGGGAUUAGCUAGUAGGUGGGGUAACGGCUCACCUAGGCGACGAUCCCUAGCUGGUCUGAGAGGAUGACCAGCCACACUGGAACUGAGACACGGUCCAGACUCCUACGGGAGGCAGCAGUGGGGAAUAUUGCACAAUGGGCGCAAGCCUGAUGCAGCCAUGCCGCGUGUGUGAAGAAGGCCUUCGGGUUGUAAAGCACUUUCAGCGGGGAGGAAGGCGUUAAGGUUAAUAACCUUGGCGAUUGACGUUACCCGCAGAAGAAGCACCGGCUAACUCCGUGCCAGCAGCCGCGGUAAUACGGAGGGUGCAAGCGUUAAUCGGAAUUACUGGGCGUAAAGCGCACGCAGGCGGUUUGUUAAGUCAGAUGUGAAAUCCCCGGGCUCAACCUGGGAACUGCAUCUGAUACUGGCAAGCUUGAGUCUCGUAGAGGGGGGUAGAAUUCCAGGUGUAGCGGUGAAAUGCGUAGAGAUCUGGAGGAAUACCGGUGGCGAAGGCGGCCCCCUGGACGAAGACUGACGCUCAGGUGCGAAAGCGUGGGGAGCAAACAGGAUUAGAUACCCUGGUAGUCCACGCCGUAAACGAUGUCGACUUGGAGGUUGUGCCCUUGAGGCGUGGCUUCCGGAGCUAACGCGUUAAGUCGACCGCCUGGGGAGUACGGCCGCAAGGUUAAAACUCAAAUGAAUUGACGGGGGCCCGCACAAGCGGUGGAGCAUGUGGUUUAAUUCGAUGCAACGCGAAGAACCUUACCUGGUCUUGACAUCCACGGAAGUUUUCAGAGAUGAGAAUGUGCCUUCGGGAACCGUGAGACAGGUGCUGCAUGGCUGUCGUCAGCUCGUGUUGUGAAAUGUUGGGUUAAGUCCCGCAACGAGCGCAACCCUUAUCCUUUGUUGCCAGCGGUCCGGCCGGGAACUCAAAGGAGACUGCCAGUGAUAAACUGGAGGAAGGUGGGGAUGACGUCAAGUCAUCAUGGCCCUUACGACCAGGGCUACACACGUGCUACAAUGGCGCAUACAAAGAGAAGCGACCUCGCGAGAGCAAGCGGACCUCAUAAAGUGCGUCGUAGUCCGGAUUGGAGUCUGCAACUCGACUCCAUGAAGUCGGAAUCGCUAGUAAUCGUGGAUCAGAAUGCCACGGUGAAUACGUUCCCGGGCCUUGUACACACCAGCCCGUCA